rfam:Hordeum vulgare subsp. vulgare, WGS project CAJW01000000 data, contig: morex_contig_52851
UAAAUACUCCCUCCGUCCUAAAAUUCUUGUCUUAAAUUUGUGUAGAAAUGAAUGUAUCUAAGUAGUAGUACUAAAAUAUGACUAGAUACAUUUAUAACUAAACAUAUUUAAAACAAAAAUUUUGGGACGGAGGGAGCAUUAC